rnacentral:lncRNA from 1 species
AAAUCUGAAGAAUUCUUUAGAUUACUAAGAUUUCGCUCUCUUUCUCUCUCCCUCUCUCACUCCCUCUCUUCUCUCUCUCUCUCUCUCUGUUCUCUCUCUCUCUCUCUCUCUCUCCCUCUCUGCCCCUCUUACUGAAACACUUAAGCCAUGCUCUCAGUAAUCCUAAGGAAAAAGGAGAAGAGGAAGAAAGCGAGGGAUGGGCCGUGGCGGAGCAUGAAAAGAAAACAUGACGGCUUUCUUUUCCUUUAGACAGGCAGCUGAGAGGUUCUGUUAGUUUCUCUCGGAGCUGAUUGAUAGCAUCUUUCUUUUCUUUUUCUUUCAUCAUGGUUAUCUAUCACGUGUGUUGAGGAAUUACACGGAAGAAGCGUGUGACGGAGACCUACUGACUGUACGGUGCCCACCCAGGACCACCAUCACUGUCCAAACAGCUUUCUACGGCAGAAGAAACUCCGCCCACUCGCUGCAGUGCCCACCUACUUACGGUAUCAGUGGGCCACGGCCACUGAGUGAUGACACUUCCUGUCAUGUGUCAACAGCACUGCAGGUAAAAGAAACACACAAACACAUGUGUACACACACACACACUGCAUACUUAUACACAGACAGAUAGACAGUUAGAAACUCUGCAACGUUCUUGAAUAUAUUCACAUAGACUAACAGACAAACAUUAAUAACUACAAAACAUACACAAUUUCACAUAUAGAUGUGUGUAUGUGUGUGUCCCUGAU